rnacentral:misc_RNA from 1 species
GUCUCGAACUAGGAGAAGAACUUGAACUUGAUGGAAUUGGUAACGAAGAGGACAGCCAAAUAGCAAGAAGAAUAGUGUUAGUGAGUUUAUGGUGCAUACAAACUGAUCCCUCAAAUCGGCCACCAAUGAGCAGAGUGGUAGAAAUGCUGCAAGCGAGACUCGAGUCAUUGGCAAUCCCACCUAAACCAUAUUUGUGCUCCCCUUCAAGGUCUCCUCUAAGAUCGGUGGAAAGUUCAUCGCCCUC